AGAAAUAGGCUUGGUAACAGGGAACGAGGAACGGAUCACAUUUCAAUCUGACAAGUUGGAUUAAAAGAACGCAAAAGCGUAGAAGGGGGGCACUUGAGAAAGGGUGUGUUUUGAGAGUGGAUUGGCACUUGCGGCAGAGUCAUACUGAUGGAACCCUUCAAAAACUCCCUAGAAACUAAAACUCCAAGCCGAUCAAGUUGGAAGAUAAUACCGAAUUGCAAUCUGAUGCGCUUCGCCUCCCCGAACAUGGGGGAAAAGUCA
ensembl:ncRNA E01G6.7 ncRNA